AGUGAACGCUGGCGGUAGGCCUAACACAUGCAAGUCGAACGGCAGCACAGUAAGAGCUUGCUCUUACGGGUGGCGAGUGGCGGACGGGUGAGGAAUACAUCGGAAUCUACUUUUUCGUGGGGGAUAACGUAGGGAAACUUACGCUAAUACCGCAUACGACCUACGGGUGAAAGCAGGGGAUCUUCGGACCUUGCGCGAUUGAAUGAGCCGAUGUCGGAUUAUCUAGUUGGCGGGGUAAAGGCCCACCAAGGCGACGAUCCGUAGCUGGUCUGAGAGGAUGAUCAGCCACACUGGAACUGAGACACGGUCCAGACUCCUACGGGAGGCAGCAGUGGGGAAUAUUGGACAAUGGGCGCAAGCCUGCUCCAGCCAUACCGCGUGGGUGAAGAAGGCCUUCGGGUUGUAAAGCCCUUUUGUUGGGAAAGAAAAGCAGCAGGUUAAUACCCCGCUGUUCUGACGGUACCCAAAGAAUAAGCACCGGCUAACUUCGUG
rnacentral:rRNA from 1 species